GUAUAUAUCGACGUUGUUAGGUAGAAUUCGACGGCGGUACAGGCAUGAGGAACGGUUUAAUCAAAUAAGAACUUGUAAAUGUACUUUUGUUUAUCUUAGAUUUGUGAACAGCAAGAGUAAACCGUAAAAACCAGCAACGGUCAGUGACUUGCAAAAUGGGAUUUGAUUUUAAACUGUUUGGAAAGAAGCCAACAUCAGUUGUCGGUUAUAUUGAAUGGCUAUAUUUCAUAUAUUGUAUAACAACUGGAAUAUACAUGCUUGACCCUUGGGAACGUACAGUUUUUAAUACCUGUUUGAUCCUGCUUUUGUCAAUGUCCUUCUAUACGGCAUAUGCUUUCUUGCCACAACAUAUCUUUGCCAUGCUUUCACAUUUUGGCCUGAUGGAUACUUGAAAAUCAUCUUUGAGCAACUUAGGCAACUGAAUUAUUGUAUUCAAACUAGAAUGUGUUAUAAAAUUGUAUGCAUAUAAGACUUGCUUUAGUAAAUGCAAGUAUGUUUUCAAGACCUAAACAAUUUAAUAUUUAAAACUGACCUAUUACUCACUUCAUGGCUAUGUUUUAUAUUUUUAUGAACUGCAUCGUGCGAGUUGCAUUGUGUAUAACUUAAAUAAUCUAUGUUUGUUUUAUUUUAAGUUGUUGCAAAAGUAACUGUACUAAUUCACUUUCUUGUUUGUUUUAUAUUUAAAAAGGCUCUGUUCAGUUAUGGACGUUCACCUCUUUUUAUUAUUUAGUCACAUGACACGUUUUUUUUUACAUUUCAACCCUAUUUUUAACUCAACACCAAUACUCUGUGUAUACCUAUUCUCAAUUGUCAACAGUUGUGCAUGGUUCAUAUUGUGUACAUGAUUUCGGUACUUUUGGUCGUUAUUGCAAAUAUGUGGUGGUUUUAAAUUGAUACUAUAUUCAACUGAAACAAGAGAUUUAGUUGGUUUAGAAUUUCUAUUUUUUUCCUUAGCGUAUUAUUUAAAUUUAGAACAAAUGUAAGUGCAAAAGUGAGUACACUAAAUAUUAUAAGUUUAUGUAUGUUAUUGCAAGACUGCAAUACAUGAUUUCAUACCCCUAAUAUUGCAUUGUUCCUUAUUUGUCAUUAUCUAUUUGCCUUCACACUUGAUGCAAUGAAAAUAGAUAACCUGAAAUUAAACGUCAUAGCUGUAUAUCUGUAAAUAGGAAAUAAAGUGCCCGUUUUUAACAUUUAA